UACGUAGGGGGCGAGCGUUACCCGGAUUUACUGGGCGUAAAGCGCGUGUAGGCGGCUGGUCAAGCGUGGUGUGAAAUCUCCGGGCUCAACCCGGAAACUGCAUUGCGAACUGACCUAGCUGGAGUGCAGGAGAGGGCAGCGGAAUUCCCGGUGUAGCGGUGAAAUGCGUAGAUAUCGGGAAGAACACCAGUGGCGAAGGCGGCUGCCUGGCCUGUGACUGACGCUGAGACGCGAAAGCGUGGGGAGCGAACAGG
rnacentral:rRNA from 1 species